rnacentral:rRNA from 1 species
GUAGGGAAUAUUGGACAAUGGGCGAAAGCCUGAUCCAGCAAUGCCGCGUGAGUGAUGAAGGCCUUAGGGUUGUAAAGCUCUUUUACCAGGGAUGAUAAUGACAGUACCUGGAGAAUAAGCUCCGGCUAACUCCGUGCCAGCAGCCGCGGUAAUACGGAGGGAGCUAGCGUUGUUCGGAAUUACUGGGCGUAAAGCGCGCGUAGGCGGCGAUUUAAGUCAGAGGUGAAAGCCCGGGGCUCAACCCCGGAAUAGCCUUUGAGACUGGAUUGCUAGAAUCCUGGAGAGGUGAGUGGAAUUCCGAGUGUAGAGGUGAAAUUCGUAGAUAUUCGGAAGAACACCAGUGGCGAAGGCGGCUCACUGGACAGGUAUUGACGCUGAGGUGCGAAAGCGUGGGGAGCAAACAGGAUUAGAAACCCUAGUAGUCC